rnacentral:rRNA from 1 species
AACGAACGCUGGCGGCAUGCCUAACACAUGCAAGUCGAACGAGAACUUCGGGUCUAGUGGCGCACGGGUGCGUAACGCGUGGGAACUUGCCCUUAGGUUCGGAAUAACUCCCCGAAAGGGGUGCUAAUACAGGAUAAUGUCUUCGGACCAAAGAUUUAUCGCCUUUGGAUGGGCCCGCGUUGGAUUAGCUAGUUGGUAGGGUAAAAGCCUACCAAGGAGACGAUCCAUAGCUGGUCUGAGGGGAUGAUCAGCCACACUGGGACUGAGACACGGCCCAGACUCCUACGGGAGGCAGCAGUGGGGAGUAUUGGACAAUGGGCGAAAGCCUGAUCCAGCAAUGCCGCGUGAGUAAUGAAGGCCUUAGAGUUGUAAAGCUCUGUUACCCGGGAUGAUAAUGACAGUACCGGGAUAAUAAGCUCCGGCUAACUCCGUG